UACGAAGGGUGCAAGCGUUGUUCGGAUUUAUUGGGCGUAAAGCGCGCGUAGGCGGACCUGCAAGUCAGAUGUGAAAUCUCGGGGCUCAACCUCGAAACUGCGUCUGAAACUACAGGUCUAGAAUCUUGGAGGGGGUAGGGGAAUUUCUCAUGUAGGGGUAAAAUCCGUAGAUAUGAGAAGGAACACCAGAGGCGAAGGCGCCUACCUGGACAAGUAUUGACGCUGAGGCGCGAAAGCGUGGGGAGCGAACGGG
rnacentral:rRNA from 1 species